rnacentral:rRNA from 1 species
AUUGAACGCUGGCGGCAGGCUUAACACAUGCAAGUCGAGCGGAGAUGAGGUGCUUGCACCUUAUCUUAGCGGCGGACGGGUGAGUAAUGCUUAGGAAUCUGCCUAUUAGUGGGGGACAACAUUCCGAAAGGAAUGCUAAUACCGCAAACGCCUUACGGGGGAAAGCAGGGGAUCUUCGGACCUUGCGCUCAUAGAUGAGCCUGAGUCGGAAUCGCUAGUUGGGGGGGUAAAGGCCUACCAAGGCGACGAUCUGUAGCGGGUCUGAGAGGAUGAUCCGCCAAACUGGGACUGAGACACGGCCCAGACUCCUACGGGAGGCAGCAGUGGGGAAUAUUGGACAAUGGGCGGAAGCCUGAUCCAGCCAUGCCGCGUGUGUGAAGAAGGCCUUUUGGUUGUAAAGCACUUUAAGCGAGGAGGAGGCUACCUGGAUUAAUACUCUAGGAUAGUGGACGUUACUCGCAGAAUAAGCACCGGCUAACUCUGUGCCAGCCGCCGCAGUAAAAC